CCUUCCCCUCUGGAAACUCCUCCACUCCGCAGUAAGCCUCCUUAGCCAUGCCUUUGCCGAGUGUCAGCCCACAGGCACAGGAGCUGCACUUGCUGGACUGGGUGGACACAGAAGACUGUUCACCCAUGAACCCAGCUAAAGGACAUCCUCUCUGAAAAGUGAAGCAACAAAGAGAAGAAGAAAAGCUGAAUCUUACCUGGCAGCAGGAAUCCCCAGAGAUGGUGUCUACUAGUUUUCACAGGUCUCCUUUUGUGGAACUGUGAAGUGGAUAACAUGUUGAGAACCUGUGCAAAAAACACAUGUUGGGAAAUAGAGUGAGGAGAUUUAGUGCAAUUUGAAGGAGGCACGGAGGACUCAUGUCCAGAGGUACAGAACCCCACGCAGCUUGGUAAAGUGCUUAAAGACUACAGAGGUACCCAUGUCAAACCAGAACAAAUUUUGGCUCAUCCAAGCCAUUGGUUAUGCCAUUAAAAGUGAAAGGGAAGAAAUGAAAACACAAAAGGCAAGUGAACAGCUGAGCAGAUACAGAUCAUCAAAUCCACUGACACUUGACGUAAAACAGAUGCUGAGUGGCUUAACAGUGAUACUUAUGGAGUGAUGUAGUGAAGUACAGAGACACCAAAGCUAACCAGGGAAGAUCUCUUCAUUGCUGGAAGCAGACAAGCCAGUGACAGGUCAAGAGCAAACCAGUGGCUACACGUGGCUUUCCUGCACCUCCCCACAUAGUUCUGACACCUUGGUCAACAAUGAAAGGAGCCAUGGUGAGAGGGCCAUCGAAGUUUUACAAGUUUUUCGGGUUUAAAAAAAACCCAACCAAAACAUACACAUGUUAUUUGAAAUUGCAUUCAUUUGAUGUCCUGAUGAAGACGUGAGUAAGAAAUGCUUUCUCCAUACAUCUAACCCAUCUUUUUGCUACCCAAAAAACCUUUCUGUUGGAUGACUCAGCUCUGUCUGGAUCAACUGUUUGA